UGGGGAAUAUUGGACAAUGGGGGAACCCUGAUCCAGCCAUGCCGCGUGUGUGAAGAAGGCCUUAUGGUUGUAAAGCACUUUAAGCGAGGAGGAGGCUCUUUUGGUUAAUACCCAAGAUGAGUGGACGUUACUCGCAGAAUAAGCACCGGCUAACUCUGUGCCAGCAGCCGCGGUAAUACAGAGGGUGCGAGCGUUAAUCGGAUUUACUGGGCGUAAAGCGUGCGUAGGCGGCUUUUAAGUCGGAUGUGAAAUCCCCGAGCUUAACUUGGGAAUUGCAUUCGAUACUGGGAAGCUAGAGUAUGGGAGAGGAUGGUAGAAUUCCAGGUGUAGCGGUGAAAUGCGUAGAGAUCUGGAGGAAUACCGAUGGCGAAGGCAGCCAUCUGGCCUAAUACUGACGCUGAGGUACGAAAGCAUGGGAGCAACA
rnacentral:rRNA from 1 species